UACGAAGGGGGCUAGCGUUGCUCGGAAUCACUGGGCGUAAAGGGCGCGUAGGCGGGUCUUUAAGUCAGGGGUGAAAUCCUGGAGCUCAACUCCAGAACUGCCUUUGAUACUGAGGAUCUUGAGUUCGGGAGAGGUGAGUGGAACUGCGAGUGUAGAGGUGAAAUUCGUAGAUAUUCGCAAGAACACCAGUGGCGAAGGCGGCUCACUGGCCCGAUACUGACGCUGAGGCGCGAAAGCGUGGGGAGCAAACAGG
rnacentral:rRNA from 1 species